GGUUAAGCGACUAAGCGUACACGGUGGAUGCCCUGGCAGUCAGAGGCGAUGAAGGACGUGCUAAUCUGCGAAAAGCGUCGGUAAGGUGAUAUGAACCGUUAUAACCGGCGAUGUCCGAAUGGGGAAACCCAGUGCAAUUCGUUGCACUAUCGUUAACUGAAUACAUAGGUUAACGAGGCGAACCGGGGGAACUGAAACAUCUAAGUACCCCGAGGAAAAGAAAUCAACCGAGAUUCCCCCAGUAGCGGCGAGCGAACGGGGAGCAGCCCAGAGUCUGAAUCAGCUUGUGUGUUAGUGGAACGGUCUGGAAAGUCCGACGGUACAGGGUGAUAGUCCCGUACACCAAAAUGCACAGGUUGUGAACUCGAAGAGUAGGGCGGGACACGUGGUAUCCUGUCUGAAUAUGGGGGGACCAUCCUCCAAGGCUAAAUACUCCUGACUGACCGAUAGUGAACCAGUACCGUGAGGGAAAGGCGAAAAGAACCCCGGCGAGGGGAGUGAAAAAGAACCUGAAACCGUGUACGUACAAGCAGUGGGAGCACCUUCGGGUGUGACUGCGUACCUUUUGUAUAAUGGGUCAGCGACUUAUAUUCUGUAGCAAGGUUAACCGUAUAGGGGAGCCGCAGGGAAACCGAGUCUUAACUGGGCGUUAAGUUGCAGGGUAUAGACCCGAAACCCGGUGAUCUAGCCAUGGGCAGGUUGAAGGUUGGGUAACACUAACUGGAGGACCGAACCGACUAAUGUUGAAAAAUUAGCGGAUGACUUGUGGCUGGGGGUGAAAGGCCAAUCAAACCGGGAGAUAGCUGGUUCUCCCCGAAAGCUAUUUAGGUAGCGCCUCGUGAACUCAUCUUCGGGGGUAGAGCACUGUUUCGGCUAGGGGGUCAUCCCGACUUACCAACCCGAUGCAAACUACGAAUACCGAAGAAUGUUAUCACGGGAGACACACGGCGGGUGCUAACGUCCGUCGUGAAGAGGGAAACAACCCAGACCGCCAGCUAAGGUCCCAAAGUCAUGGUUAAGUGGGAAACGAUGUGGGAAGGCACAGACAGCCAGGAUGUUGGCUUAGAAGCAGCCAUCAUUUAAAGAAAGCGUAAUAGCUCACUGGUCGAGUCGGCCUGCGCGGAAGAUGUAACGGGGCUAAACCAUGCACCGAAGCUGCGGCAGCGACAC
rnacentral:rRNA from 1 species